rnacentral:rRNA from 1 species
UACGUAGGGUGCAAGCGUUGUCCGGCAUUAUUGGGCGUCAAGAGCUCGUAGGCGGUUUGUCGCGUCUGCUGUGAAAACCCGAGGCUCAACCUCGGGCCUGCAGUGGGUACGGGCAGACUAGAGUGUGGUAGGGGAGACUGGAAUUCCUGGUGUAGCGGUGAAAUGCGCAGAUAUCAGGAGGAACACCGAUGGCGAAGGCAGGUCUCUGGGCCAUAACUGACGCUGAGAAGCGAAAGCAUGGGGAGCGAACAGG